AUUGAACGCUGGCGGCAGGCCUAACACAUGCAAGUCGAACGGUAACAGGAAGCAGCUUGCUGCUUUGCUGACGAGUGGCGGACGGGUGAGUAAUGUAUGGGAAACUGCCCGAUGGAGGGGGAUAACUACUGGAAACGGUAGCUAAUACCGCAUAACGUCGCAAGCCCAAAGAGGGGGACCUUAGGGCCUCUUGCCAUCGGAUGUGCCCAGAUGGGAUUAGCUAGUAGGUGGGGUAACGGCUCACCUAGGCGACGAUCCCUAGCUGGUCUGAGAGGAUGACCAGCCACACUGGAACUGAGACACGGUCCAGACUCCUACGGGAGGCAGCAGUGGGGAAUAUUGCACAAUGGGCGCAAGCCUGAUGCAGCCAUGCCGCGUGUAUGAAGAAGGCCUUCGGGUUGUAAAGUACUUUCAGCGGGGAGGAAGGGAGUAAAGUUAAUACCUUUGCUCAUUGACGUUACCCGCAGAAGAAGCACCGGCUAACUCCGUG
rnacentral:rRNA from 1 species